GCCAGUGUGGUAUAAUGGUUUGAAUGUUGGACUACCACUUUAGGGACCACGGUUUGAUUCUGUGCUUGGCC